CUUAGGCACUCAGAUUCAGACCAAUCUUUGUCUUUUCCCUCUCUAGGCUUGAGGGAAAUGCAGUGCUCUAGAACUCAGCUUAGCAGAAGUUGCCAGAUGUGUGGCUCCUUGCCUACCUGCUAGCCUAAAGGACAUGUGGCAGAUCACGGUCACCACACCAAAACAAGGGGUGCAGAGCCAUUCUGGCAGCUACUGGGGACCCAGGGAGGUCAUUUUGGAGAUGUGAUGAGUUACACUUUCGGUGGGGAAGAGCUGGUAGGCAACAGUUGGGUUGGACUGAAGGGGUCAGACCAGAUCCUGUGUUGGGUCAAGGUGAGGAUCUACAGCUGAGGUGGGUGGGCCAUCAGGGUUUUGGCCUACAAGGUGUAUACAGAUGCAGGUAAAGGUGGCUUUAUUUUUCCCCUUUCCUGGCUAACAUGGAAAGACUAUGGUCUAAAAUAUCUGAGGAGACAAGCCAGCGAUUAAGUAGUAUGGGGUGACAUGCCAGGCAUCAGGUCCCCUCUAGAGAGGGCUGAUUUUUUUCAGAAGAGAGUGAGAAUCAGGCUCAGAAGACAGGUCAAAGUGGAAAUGGACCCCAGGGCCCAUAGUCUGAUGAGUGAUUCCCAGGGGGUACUUGGUGAAGGCUUAAGAUUGCCUGGCAAGGGAGAAGGAAACUCAUGGAGACAAGUUCAGGCCUGGGCCUUAUUGUGCCCUUCCCCUUUUGUAGGGUUAGUGUGUUCAAGGGAGACACAGUCUCCAAGGUCACAUCUUUGCUCUGUAUUGAUGAUCAAGGAGCCAGAGCACAGGUUGGGGUGGACCCUGGGUUUGAUGUAGGAAAAUGACAUUUGCAUUUGUAUAACUGAUGCCACUUCCUGUGACCCCAUCAUUGAACAAAUUGUGACUUGAUAUCCCAGGAAUCUGCCCCUUUGUCACCAGGUAAUGGCUCUCAUCUUGGAAAGCCCCUCAGGAGGAGCUGGGAAUCUGAACACAUAUCCUUCACCUCUUGUGUUUGUUCUUCCUUCCGGCUGCUGGUACCCACCACCACUAUCAUUCUCCUGAGAGGACUCAUGCCUUGAUGGAUGCCAGAGGACAGUUUAGGGACCAGCCUUGGGACAUUUUUGCUGUUUAUGGUACAGAGAUAUUGUUAUAUCUCACAGAUCUGCUCUGUGACCUGCCCACACCAGGAAUCCUUGUUCCUUCUGGGAACUGGU
rnacentral:lncRNA from 1 species